rnacentral:rRNA from 1 species
GACGAACGCUGGCGGCGUGCUUAACACAUGCAAGUCGAACGGAAAGGCCCUGCUUUUGUGGGGUGCUCGAGUGGCGAACGGGUGAGUAACACGUGAGUAACCUGCCCUUGACUUUGGGAUAACUUCAGGAAACUGGGGCUAAUACCGGAUAGGAGCUCCUGCUGCAUGGUGGGGGUUGGAAAGUUUCGGCGGUUGGGGAUGGACUCGCGGCUUAUCAGCUUGUUGGGGGGGUAGUGGCUUACCAAGGCUUUGACGGGUAGCCGGCCUGAGAGGGUGACGGGCCCUAUUGCAACUAGUUUACGGCCCCGACUCUUCCGGACGGCAGCGGGGGGAACUCUUGCGCACUGGGUGAAGGCUGUGCGCGGCACCGCCGCCGUGGGGGUCAGGUCAUUUGGUUUUGAACCGCCUUUCUCCUUUCUGGGACCGUGCGUGCCCGUAUUGGGAAAACAUCCACCGCCUAACUUCUC